AGUUCGGGGCUCGAAUCGAUCAUCCGUUCGGCCUCCAUUUUUGGAGUCGUCGUCGGAUCGUUCGGUGAGUACCGACUUGUUUUGGGACGACGCAUGAGUUGCGUUGUAGAUAUGCGUCGUUGUAGGCUCCAUGCUUUGGCAUCGAACUAUAACGGCUUAUCUUCCUCAUUAAUGGGCUCGCGUUGGUGUUUUCGUCAUCGUUCGCGGUCGCUCCUUGGGUUCCUGCGUUUCAUAUCGGAUUCGACAUUUGGAUGCACUUCUAGUCCUGGCACCGUUUGUCGAUUCUCCCUCGUCCCACGCGGCGUCGGAGGUUAUUUUGAUGUCAUCGACGUUCGCCUUAUGCGCUGCAGUCUCCUCUGAACGGGAGCUGUUGUUCGUGACGGCAUGUCGAUGCACUUGGCUUUCUCGGGUGCAGAGAAAUUCUGGUUAUCGUGUCGGUCCACGACCCUUGUUAGCUUAACGUUACCGAGCGUGCUUUUGCAUUUACGACCCUCGUUCUCGUCCAGGAGCUCACGGAGCUUGUUCGUUCGGUGUAGUACCUGGAGAGUCACCGAGGUCGAUGACGGAAUCUACCUGGUUGAU
rnacentral:misc_RNA from 1 species